CACUUGUAUCUUUCACUUUAUAAUUGUUUCAAUCAAGGUUUCCAUUGUUUCACACAGAAAGACAUCAAAUCUCACUCUUUAUGGCCAUUUAGUGUUUAGCUUCCUAGUCAGUUUUUCCCACUUAUCAGAAAUGCUGCCUAUCUCAUUUUGUACAGCAGAUAUCCACCAUACAGGAUGUAAACAGCAUAGCAGUUUUAUUCAUCAAUACCCUGCAUACUUGGUCUACCUGUCCCUAAUCUUAAUGACAGCUCUAUUUCUUUGUCUGGAAUUAUGCCCCCUAAUAUUUUUUUCAGUAAAAUCUUUUUUAUUUUUUUGUCAACCAUCCAACUCGUCUCAGCAUUACCGAGUUCUAUAUUUCUGGUUUGUUUAACUUUCAAGGCCGCUUUGCUCUGCAAACUGUAAAUAUGGCUCAGCUUGUGCUUCAGUUGGGAGUAAUUGGGAUUUUGACUGUGUUAACCAUUUUAAUGUUUCUCCUGUUUUUUACUGUACAAUUCCUACCCUAAAAUGCUUUUCACAAUUCACAUGUGGCUACUCCUCUUCAUUUCUUCUAUAUUUUUUAUUUCAGUUAUGCUUCAUGCAACAUGUUUUUAUGUUCAUCUGUAUAUUGUUUCUAUGGCUUAGCUAGAAGAGGUCAAUUGGAGGAGUGUGUGUAUGACAUCACCAGGUCAAAGGCAUAAAGCCUUGGCUACAAUUAUUUCACAUUCUGGGCUUCGUUUUCUUUUGAGAUACCCCAGACACACAUCCAUUAUCCCCUUCUUUUAUCUGAGACAUUGAUAGUCAUAAACCGAGGAUGGACCAGGGACCUCGGGCCUCAAGACUGCAGUCUGCCACAUCCUAGUCUGUCAGGUCUGACAGCUGGUCACCACAGCUCCCCCAGUGUACCUUGCCCUCACUCAGAUGCUGCCACGUCUUGAUCUUCCCGCCGUCUCAUUCCCAUGGUCUCUCUGUAUAUCCUGUCUGCUCUGCUGCUCAACAGACAAGAUCACGGCCACAGCACACGGUCUCCUUACAGCCUUCAGUUUUGCUUCUCUUUAAAUAAUCAUCCUCAGCAGACCAAAAGAAAACAAAUAAUCCAUUUUACUUACCACCUCCACUUCCGGAUUCCCAAGAUGGCCGCCCAACAUCACUUCUAACUCCCGAUGAUGACGUCACUUCUGUCACCACCAUAACAACAACACUUCUGGUCUCCAGAUAAUGACGUCACUUCCAUCCAUCUGUCAUCAUUUCCUUCAGCCAUUUUGUUCUGUAU